AACGAACGCUGGCGGCAGGCCUCAAACAUGCAAGUCUAGGGGGUGCAGCAAUGCAUCACCGGCGGACGGGUGCGUAACGCGUGGGAAUAUACCUUUUGGUUCGGAACAACUGCGGGAAACUGCAGCUAAUACCGAAUGUGCCCUAACGGGGAAGAUUUAUCGCCAAAGGAUCAGCCCGCGUAGGAUUAGCUAGUUGGUGAGGUAAUGGCUCACCAAGGCUCCGAUCCUUAGCUGUUCUGAGAGGAAGAUCAGCCACACUGGGACUGAGACACGGCCCAGACUCCUACGGGAGGCAGCAGUUGGGAAUCUUGGACAAUGGGGGAAACCCUGAUCCAGCCAUGCCGCGUGAGUGAUGAAGG
rnacentral:rRNA from 1 species